AUUGCUUCUCGGCCUUUCGGCUAAGAUCAAAGUGUAGUAUCUCUUCAUGGCAGAAAUGAAACUAAUAAUACUAAUUUCUUUAGUUAUCAAAAGCUUUUUGUACUUGAUUGUACUGUACCUACUAUGAAAAACGAUCCUG